AUCCAGACUCCUACGGGAGGCAGCAGUGGGGAAUAUUGCACAAUGGGGGAAACCCUGAUGCAGCGACGCCGCGUGGGUGAAGAAGUAAUUCGUUAUGUAAAGCUCUAUCAGCAGGGAAGAAAAUGACGGUACCUGAGUAAGAAGCCCCGGCUAACUACGUGCCAGCAGCCGCGGUAAUACGUAGGGGGCAAGCGUUAUCCGGAUUUACUGGGUGUAAAGGGAGCGUAGACGGCGAUGCAAGUCUGAAGUGAAAGGCGGGGGCCCAACCCCCGGACUGCUUUGGAAACUGUAUGGCUGGAGUGCAGGAGAGGUAAGUGGAAUUCCUAGUGUAGCGGUGAAAUGCGUAGAUAUUAGGAGGAACACCGGUGGCGAAGGCGGCCUGCUGGACUGCGACUGACGUUGAGGCCCGAAAGCGUGGGGAGCAAACAGGAUUAGAUACCCUUGUA
rnacentral:rRNA from 1 species